AUUGAACGCUGGCGGCAGGCUUAACACAUGCAAGUCGAGCGGAGAUGAGGUGCUUGCACCUUAUCUUAGCGGCGGACGGGUGAGUAAUGCUUAGGAAUCUGCCUAUUAGUGGGGGACAACAUUCCGAAAGGAAUGCUAAUACCGCAUACGUCCUACGGGAGAAAGCAGGGGAUCUUCGGACCUUGCGCUAAUAGAUGAGCCUAAGUCGGAUUAGCUAGUUGGUGGGGUAAAGGCCUACCAAGGCGACGAUCUGUAGCGGGGCUUAGAGGAUGAUCCGCCACACUGGGACUGAGACACGGCCCAGACUCCUACGGGAGGCAGCAGUGGGGAAUAUUGGACAAUGGGGGAAACCCUGAUCCAGCCAUGCCGCGUGUGUGAAGAAGGCCUUAUGGUUGUAAAGCACUUUAAGCGAGGAGGAGGCUACUGAGACUAAUACUCUUGGAUAGUGGACGUUACUCGCAGAAUAAGCACCGGCUAACUCUGUGCCAGCAGCCGCAGUAA
rnacentral:rRNA from 1 species